AUUGAACGCUGGCGGAAUGCUUUACACAUGCAAGUCGAACGGCAGCACGGACUUCGGUCUGGUGGCGAGUGGCGAACGGGUGAGUAAUACAUCGGAACGUGCCCAAUCGUGGGGGAUAACGUAGCGAAAGCUACGCUAAUACCGCAUACGAUCUAAGGAUGAAAGCGGGGGAUCGCAAGACCUCGCGCGCUUGGAGCGGCCGAUGGCAGAUUAGGUCGGUGGUAGGGUAAAGGCCUACCAAGCCGACGAUCUGUAGCUGGUCUGGGAGGAUGAUCAGCCACACUGGGACUGAGACACGGCCCAGACUCCUACGGGAGGCAGCAGUGGGGAAUUUUGGACAAUGGCCGCAAGUCUGAUCCAGCCAUUCCGCGUGCAGGAUGAAGGCCCUCGGGUUGUAAACUGCUUUUGUACAGAACGAAAAGGCUCUGGUUAAUACCUAGGGCUCAUGACGGUACUGUAAGAAUAAGCACCGGCUAACUACGUGCCAGCCGCCGCCGUAA
rnacentral:rRNA from 1 species